UUCCACGUGGCCUACGUCUUGAUCAAGUUUGCAAACUCUCCCCGUCCUGACCUUUGGGUUCUGGAGAGAUCGGUGGACUUCGGGCAGACCUACAAGCCCUGGCAGUUCUUCGCCUCCUCCAAGAGAGACUGCAUCGAGCGUUUUGGACAGAAGACCAUCGAGAGGAUCAACAAUGACGACGACGUCAUCUGCACCACAGAGUACUCUCGAAUCGUCCCGCUGGAGAACGGAGAGAUCGUCGUGUCCUUGGUGAACGGCCGCCCCGGAGCGCUGAACUUCUCCUACUCGCCGGUCCUCAGAGACUUCACCAAGGCCACCAACAUCAAACUCAGUUUCCUGAGAACCAACACGCUGCUGGGACACCUGAUGGGCAAAGCGCUGCGUGACCC